GAUUAUGAUUCAUGCACUGGGCUCUGAGCAGUAUCUCAUUCAUGUGUUUGUGCCUAUUGAUGGAAAUGUAGCCUAUAGAAAGCUUUGUCUGAACC
rnacentral:snoRNA from 1 species